rnacentral:rRNA from 1 species
UCCCUAGCUGGUCUGAGAGGAUGACCAGCCACACUGGAACUGAGACACGGUCCAGACUCCUACGGGAGGCAGCAGUGGGGAAUAUUGCACAAUGGGCGCAAGCCUGAUGCAGCCAUGCCGCGUGUGUGAAGAAGGCCUCGGGUUGUAAAGCACUUUCAGCGGGGAGGAAGGCGUCAAGGUUAAUAACCUUGGCGAUUGACGUUACCCGCAGAAGAAGCACCGGCUAACUCCGUGCCAGCAGCCGCGGUAAUACGGAGGGUGCAAGCGUUAAUCGGAAUUACUGGGCGUAAAGCGCACGCAGGCGGUCUGUCAAGUCGGAUGUGAAAUCCCGGGCUCAACCUGGGAACUGCAUUCGAAACUGGCAGGC